UUUGAAUUUUUAAAAAAUUUAUUUUUUGGUACAGCAACUAAUGGAAUUUUUUUUUGUUUUGAUGAGUUUAAUAGAUUAUCUCUCGAAUCGUUAAGUGUUCUAGCUCAACAGUUAUGUAAUUUAUUUAAUGCUAAGUCAAAAAGGUUUAGUAUUGAUGAGGAUGAUACGGUUACUAAUACAGAACAGCAAGAUACUGAAGUUGUUGGUGACAUAUCUAGGGGUAGUAUUUGUGGUAAAAAAAUAUUAUUAGAAGGAAAAUAUAUAAAUGUAAAUAACGAAUUUAAUAUUUUUAUUACAAUUAAUCCUUAUUAUAAAGGAAGAAGUUCAUUACCGAACAAUGUAAAAGCUUUAUUCCGUUUUUUUAAUUUUGUUAAACCUGAUUAUCAAACAAUUAUACAUGUAUUAUUAUAUGCUAAAGGAUAUAAAUAUAGUAAAUAUUUAUCACGUAAAGUUAUGAUGCUAUUUGAAUUAUGUGAGCAUAAUUUAAGUCCUGAAAGACAUUAUAAAUAUGAUUUGAGAACAGUUAAAAAAAUUAUUUUUAUAAUGGAUAAAAUAACGGAAGAUGAUACAGAAUAUAUUUAUGGCAAUAAUAACUCUAUUAAACGAUGUCGUACCAUUUUUUACGAAUAUAAAAAUUUAUUUAUUGCUAUUAUCGAAUGUAUUAUGCCUUCUAUAAUAAAAAAUGAUAUUUAUAUAUUUAUGAACAUAUUAAAAAAUUUAUUUCACGAAAUGUAUACAUAUAACCAAUCUUUAGAAAAUAGUAGUAACAGUAAAGGGAAUAGUAGUAACAGAUCGAACCAUUUAGAAUUUGGCAUCUAUAAAAGUACAAUUACAAAUGUUACUUCCAUUACGAAUACUAUUGAUGAAAAUAGUAUAACAAAAUAUUUGAAAAGUUUUUAUUCUAAUAUAAGUUCGAGUUAUAACCCAAAUGAAACAACAAAUAAAGGAUUACUCACAAGAGGAAAUAGUAGUAAGUCGUUUGGGAACGAUCAUGAUGGGGAGCAAGAAACCGAAAAUGGUAAGGGAACCAGUUUAAAUAAAAACACAAUGUUAAUACCCACAAAUGAAGAGGAUAAAGCUGGUGUUUUGGGUCAACCCAAAAAAAAAGAUAUAAAUAAUGUCGGUGAUACACACGAAUAUUAUCAUACAGAUAAACAAUUACAAAAUAAUACUAACAAAAACACGAACAAACAGAUACCAUUCGAUUCGUCUAUGCAGAUGCCACUUUCAAGUAACAACACGGAUCUAAUGAAAGAUAAAAAAAAUAAAAAAAAAAAUAAAAAUAAAGAUAAAAAUAAAGAUAAAAAUAAAGAUAAAAAUAAAAUUAAAAAUAAAAAGUUGGUAACGUCUGUGGGAAGUACAAGUGGUACCGUUGACAGUGUAAUGGAAAAAAAAACGGGUGACCAUCUUUUAGUGGAAAAAACAAAAACGGGUGACCCACUAGAUGAGAGGACAACAAAAGGCAAUGAUGACGGUAGUGGUAAUACACAUAAACAGUUUGAUCAAACUUCAGAAGAAGAAAAAAAAAAAAAAAAAGAGAACCUUAGAUAGAACUAAGGAGAAUGUAGAUAACACUUAUGCAAAAGACAGUGGUGAUAGUAGUACAGACAAUAUAAGUGAUAGCAAUAAUACCACCAGUGAAAGUGACCAAGAAAAUUCAGACAUAGAUAUAUACAACGAAAAAAAUAAAAAUAUUGAAAAGUAUUACGAAAAUAUAAAU
rnacentral:lncRNA from 1 species